UUUUGUGUUAAUUAAUUGCCAUUUUGAAUUAUGUGUUAUUUUGAAGUUGUUUCCUAUUGUGAUUGGUCUUCAUAGCCACGCUAGUCUUCUUGGUUCUUCUUCCUAAGCAUUCUUCGCAAAACUGAUCGGCUCAGGCGUUUGGAUUUUUCGCGAUAAUCAGGCGUGUCUCUCUUCAGUCUCUAUGGCUGGCUCUUCUAAUAGGCGGUCCAAGCGGAUUAGGAGGAGUUCGUCCGGUGGUGUUCCAGAGAUCUUGGCCAAAAUUACUUGACAGGCACACUAUACCCCUUUAUUGGAAAUUUGCAUGGUAUGCAAUACCUGGGACAUUGAUGAAGUUAAUCAAAAUGUGAUGGUAGAUAGUCCAUAUUCUGACGAUUUUCUAUCUUUCCCGAUUGUGUUGGCCCAUCGUGCCCAACCAGACCCUCCUUUGGACGAUUUUGAUAAUGGAGUCGCUGGUUGUAUUUGUUCUUUUUAUAUGUAUUGCGGCGCACAUCAAAACUAGCUAUUGAAGCGUACUUUAUAUAGAAGUCAAUUCCACAUUGUAAACUAUCAAAUUGUUGUCCGACAACUAGUUUGAUUGAUAGGUGGUCACAUAUUGUUAACCAAUACCUAGUAUGACCCGGAUAUUUCCAU